UCACUUCUCACGCGUAGCAACCCUAAAUUGCCGCCGCCGCCUUCUUCGACAGCGCGCAAGCUUCCCGAUCAGGCCACGCCGGAGCGCCUACGACGUCGUUAUCCGAUUCAUCAGGAGAUAAUCAUUUCCGAUCCGUUCCGUUCCGACGUUCCGAUCCGUUCUUUUACUAUUAUAACGUCCGAGAACGGCGUGAGGCGUUCCCGUGCCCGUUCCGGCCGUUCCACGCCCGUUCCGACGUGCGUCAACCCGUCAACCCGCAAUCUGCUAGGGAUCCGAUUGUGGAUUCCCUAUAUAACCCUCUCUAUUUCACUGCGCCGCCACCACCAUCCAAACCAAACCCUUUUGAGAUUUGCGUCUAUAGCAGGCCUGGGCAGAUCGAUUUAAUUCUGAGCGACGAUCCAAAAGAAACCGUCUGUUGGUAGCAGAUUUUCUUGCGGAGUGAAAUGUUCCAGUUUGGCCGAAGAAAUGAGGAUAAGUUGAGAAUAAUUUGGCUUACCCAUGGAACUGCAGGAAGAAGAAAAAAAAAACAUUCUGAUGUUUUUAGGUUUGGCAUGGGAGGUAUUGGAAAGAUUUGUUUGGUUAGAAGAUUAGAGGCUCAAGGCUUGCCUCCUAAUUAAGCAUACAUAAUCAUAUCAACAUUGACGACAUUUUUGAAUCCUAAUUUAGAUCAUUUGGCACAAUCUGUUGUGUCAAAGUCGGCAAUCAAUGAGUUUAAGGCGGAACAAAAUUCUGAUCUAUCCCAAUUCAAGUUAGAAAUGAAACACAUGCAGGAAAUUAUUGAAGUGGAAGCAGGACUGGAAGCUGGAAAAUUUGAGCUUAUGAAGUACUGACUUUGUUUGAUGAUAAUAGUUGCUUUUGCAAUUAUGUGCUUUUAAAUGUAGAAAUUAUUGAAGUGGAAGCAGGACUGGAAGUUGGAAAAUUUGAACUUAUGAAGUACUGUGUUGGUACUUUUGUUUCAGUAGGAUCAAUUUGUCUUGCAUUUGUGCUAUUUUGGAAGUAGAAAUUAAAAGUAGACUUUGUUUGAUGAUAAUA